rnacentral:misc_RNA from 1 species
AGAGAGAAACCGCCUGCUUAGCUUAGCUUGCCUUGCUUUUGUUUCUUUAUUUCUUCGCCAUUUCCGCCAGCAUAACCAAGAAAGGUUAAUAUCGACAGAAUUUUUCUGCUUGCCGGUUCUCCAUUUUGCUUGAAAUGACCGUUCUAUUGCUAACAAGGUAUUGUUGCUCUUCAAUAAUACUCAAAAAGUUAAAAAUAAAUAGAAUGCUCGUUGUAGCGUUCUUAUAGUUGAUUUUGUGUUCUUGCUUGCAGAUUCUAGGAUUUCAUUUGGUUUAUCCAUUUAUCAAUUGGGGUUUUGGCAAAAGUGAACUGGUUUAAUCUUACACUGGGGGUUUUGGAUGAUAAUUGAAUGGUUUUUACAGGGACAUUAUAGAAAUAUUGAUUACCAGUAGUUUUCAAGUUGAAAAGUAUGGGUUAUGAAGAGGCUAACAGUGAAAUGAUGCAAAGGCUUCAA